GGUUAAGUUACAAAGGGCGCACGGUGGAUGCCUUGGCACUAGGAGCCGAUGAAGGACGGAACUAAUACCGAUAUGCUUCGGGGAGCUAUAAGUAAGCUUUGAUCCGGAGAUUUCCGAAUGGGGGAACCCAGUACACAUCAGUGUAUUGCUUGUCAGUGAAUACAUAGCUGGCCGGCGGCAGACGCGGGGAACUGAAACAUCUCAGUACCCGCAGGAAGAGAAAGAAAACUCGAUUCCCAUAGUAGCGGCGAGCGAAGUGGGAAGAGCCCAAACCGAGAAGCU
rnacentral:rRNA from 1 species